GACGAACGCUGGCGGCGUGCUUAACACAUGCAAGUCGAACGGAAAGACCCUGCUUUUGUGGGGUGCUCGAGUGGCGAACGGGUGAGUAACACGUGAGUAACCUGCCCUUGACUUUGGGAUAACUUCAGGAAACUGGGGCUAAUACCGGAUAGGAGCUCCUGCUGCAUGGUGGGGGUUGGAAAGUUUCGGCGGUUGGGGAUGGACUCGCGGCUUAUCAGCUUGUUGGUGGGGUAGUGGCUUACCAAGGCUUUGACGGGUAGCCGGCCUGAGAGGGUGACCGGCCACAUUGGGACUGAGGGACGGCCCAGACUGCUACGGUGGGCAGCGGUGGGGAAUAUUGCACAGUGGGCGGAAGCCUGAUGCAGCAACGCCGCGUGCGGGAUGACGGCCUUCGGGUUGUGAACCGCUUUCGCCUGUGACGAAGCGUGAGUGACGGUAAUGGGUAAAGAAGCACCGGCUAACUACGUG
rnacentral:rRNA from 1 species